rnacentral:rRNA from 1 species
GACGAACGCUGGCGGCGUGCUUAACACAUGCAAGUCGAACGGAGGAUUUAUUUCGGUAAAUCCUUAGCGGCGAACGGGUGAGUAACGCGUGGGCAAUCUGCCCUUCAGAUGGGGACAACAUCCCGAAAGGGGUGCUAAUACCGAAUACGAUCGCGCUGCCGCAUGGCGGUGCGAUGAAAGAUGGCCUCUAUUUAUAAGCUAUCGCUGAAGGAUGAGCCUGCGUCUGAUUAGCUAGUUGGUGGGGUAACGGCCUACCAAGGCGAUGAUCAGUAGCCGGUCUGAGAGGAUGAACGGCCACAUUGGGACUGAGACACGGCCCAAACUCCUACGGGAGGCAGCAGUGGGGAAUAUUCCGCAAUGGACGAAAGUCUGACGGAGCAACGCCGCGUGAGUGAUGAAGGUUUUCGGACUGUAAAACUCUGUUGUUUAGGACGAAAGUGCCUGUUGCGAACAGUUGCAGGUAUUGACGGUACUGAACGAGGAAGCCACGGCUAACUACGUGCCAGCAGCCGCAGUAAAAC